AUUGAACGCUGGCGGCAGGCCUAACACAUGCAAGUCGAGCGGAUGAGUGGAGCUUGCUCCAUGAUUCAGCGGCGGACGGGUGAGUAAUGCCUAGGAAUCUGCCCUGGUAGUGGGGGACAACGUUUCGAAAGGAACGCUAAUACCGCAUACGUCCUACGGGAGAAAGCAGGGGACCUUCGGGCCGUUGCGCUAUCAGAUGAGCCUAGGUCGGAUUAGCUAGUAGGUGAGGUAAUGGCUCACCUAGGCGACGAUCCGUAACUGGUCUGAGAGGAUGAUCAGUCACACUGGAACUGAGACACGGUCCAGACUCCUACGGGAGGCAGCAGUGGGGAAUAUUGGACAAUGGGCGAAAGCCUGAUCCAGCCAUGCCGCGUGUGUGAAGAAGGUCUUCGGAUUGUAAAGCACCUUAAGUUGGGAGGAAGGGCAGUAAGUUAAUACCUUGCUGUUUUUGACGUUACCAACAGAAUAAGCACCGGCUAACUUCGUGCCAG
rnacentral:rRNA from 1 species